rnacentral:rRNA from 1 species
GACGAACGCUGGCGGCGUGCUUAACACAUGCAAGUCGAACGGGGAUUAAGUUGGAAAGGCUUCGGCCCGGAAGACUUAAUUCGAGUGGCGGACGGGUGAGUAACGCGUGAGCAACCUGUCCCAGACAGGGGGAUAACACUUGGAAACAGGUGCUAAUACCGCAUAAGACCACGGGGUCACAUGGCUCUGGGGUAAAAGGAGCAAUCCGGUUUGGGGUGGGCUCGCGUCCGAUUAGAUAGUUGGUGAGGUAACGGCCCACCAAGUCGACGAUCGGUAGCCGACCUGAGAGGGUGAUCGGCCACAUUGGAACUGAGAGACGGUCCAAACUCCUACGGGAGGCAGCAGUGGGGAAUAUUGGGCAAUGGGCGAAAGCCUGACCCAGCAACGCCGCGUGAGUGAAGAAGGCCUUCGGGUUGUAAAGCUCUGUUAUAGGGGACGAAGGAAGUGACGGUACCCUAUAAGGAAGCCCCGGCUAACUACGUGCCAGCCGCCGCCGUA